rnacentral:rRNA from 1 species
UUGAACGCUGGCGGCAUGCCUUACACAUGCAAGUCGAACGGUAACAGGUCUUCGGAUGCUGACGAGUGGCGAACGGGUGAGUAAUACAUCGGAACGUGCCCGAUCGUGGGGGAUAACGAGGCGAAAGCUUUGCUAAUACCGCAUACGAUCUACGGAUGAAAGCGGGGGAUCUUCGGACCUCGCGCGGACGGAGCGGCCCGAUGGCAGAUUAGGUAGUUGGUGGGAUAAAAGCUUACCAAGCCGACGAUCUGUAGCUG